CAUUCCAUAAAAAAACAGGGGGGUCAUUAAAGAAAGGCAGGGGAGAACUUUUGAUGCUGCUUUUCAGGCAUCCCGUUCAGACUUAACCUGGACAUUAAUACAGAUGCCUGGUGGAUGGCAUUGUCACUCAUGUUGAUGAAAUCUUCAAAGACAGGCCAUGAUUCAGGCUCAGAACACCCUACCCAAGCUCCCAUAGAGACCAAAGAUGUUGUUACAAGAGAGCAGAAGACUAUUGAACUGUGUUUCCUAAAAAAGAUAUGCUUCUGUACCAGCACCUCAGAAUGCAGUUUUAUUUGGGAAUGAGGUCAUUGCAAAUAAAAUUGGUUAAGAUGAGGUCAUGUUGGAGUAGAAUGGAACCCCAAUCCAAUAUGGUAUCCUUAUAAGAAGACAGCCAUGUGAAGACACAGAGACACAGGGAGAAUGCCAUGUGAAGAUGGAAACAGAUUAAAAUGAUGCCUUUAAAGCCAAGAAACCCCAAGGAUUGCUGGCCAUCACCAGCAAGUAGAAGAGAGGCAUGAAUUCUCCCUCAGAAAGAAUCGAUUCUGCUGACAUCUUGAUCUUGCACUUCUAGCCUCUACAACUAUGGGAUAUUAAACUUCUGUUGUUUUAAGUCA